CCAAACUUGGUCAUUUAGAGGAAGUAAAAGUCGUAACAAGGUUUCCGUAGGUGAACCUGCGGAAGGAUCAUUAAAGGUUUCUGCUGUAUGUGAAGGGUUGUAGCUGGCCGCACAUGCUGUGCAAGUGCACGCCCGGAUCAUCCAAACAGCACAACACCCCCACUUCUCCUGCUCCUGUGAACAACUGUAGCAGGGGGGUAUAAACGCCCUCCGCUACGAAUUGCAUGUAAACAAAAAAGUUUUGGGAUGUACUGUAAAGAAAUAUUAUAAACAACUUUCAGCAACGGAUCUCUUGGCUCUCGCAUCGAUGAAGAACGCAGC
rnacentral:misc_RNA from 1 species